UACGGAGGGUGCAAGCGUUGUCCGGAAUCACUGGGCGUAAAGGGCGCGUAGGUGGUGGCUUAAGCGUGCGGUGAAAGCUCGGGGCUCAACUCCGAGUCGGCCGUGCGAACUGGGCUCACUGGAGCAUAGUAGAGGCAGGUGGAAUUCCGGUGGAGCGGUGAAAUGCGUAGAGAUCGGAAAGAACACCAACGGCGAAAGCACUCUGCUGGGCCGACACUGACACUGAGAGACGAAAGCUAGGGGAGCGAAUGGG
rnacentral:rRNA from 1 species